rnacentral:rRNA from 1 species
CUGACAUAGGAGGAGAACGGCUACUUGCUGCUUCCCGAAGAACCUGAUCCCUUACGCACCUUGCAUCAUAAGGAUAGCAUCGCGAAGGUGAUGUUUCUUGUGGCCGUGGCUAAACCAAGAUAUGGCAAUGUUGGUGUCGUCACGUUUGAUGGAAAGAUAGGCAUUUGGGCCUUUGUCACAGAGUCUCUGGCUCAAAGAAGGAGUGAAAAUAGAGAAAGAGGGACACUUGAAUUCAAAUCAUCAAAAGUUACAAGAGUUGUAAUGAGGCUCUAUAUGUGUGAGAAAUUGAUUCCAGCUAUCCAUGACCUAUGGCCUGAUGAAGAUGAAGAAUGGACCAUCUUUAUCCAGCAAGAUAAUGCUACACCACAUCUUAAGCCUAGUGACGAGGUUUUUCAACGGGCCGUAGAACAGACCGGUCUAGAUAUCAAGUUGAUCCAGCAACCUCCAAAUAGCCCCGACCUGAAUAUUCUUGAUCUCUGCUUCUUCAGGUCUCUCCAGUCGCAUACCGAUUGCAGAGCACCUCAGAGCAUAAGGGAAUUGAUAGAAGGCAUGGAGGAAGAAUAUCAAAACUAUGAUGUCAACACGUUAGCUCGAAGCUUCGUGACACUGCAAUCAUGCAUGAGAGAGAUUAUGAGAGAAAAAGGAGGGAUAGGCUACAAGAUUACUCACAUGCAAAAAGAGCGCCGACAGCAAGAAGGAAGGCUUCCUAUCGCUCUCUCCUUAGACAUUGAGCUAGUUGAGCAAACCUUAGCACUUAUAGCAGCAGCAGACCUCGAGGCAGCAGCACCAACACCUUUGAAGCAGAGAAAGAGAAAGAGGAGUUGA